rnacentral:rRNA from 1 species
GAUGAACGCUAGCGGCAGGCCUAACACAUGCAAGUCGAGGGCAGCACGGUGUAGCAAUACACUGGUGGCGACCGGCGCACGGGUGCGUAACGCGUAUGCAACUACCCAUAACAGGGGGAUAACACUGAGAAAUUGGUACUAAUACCCCAUAACAUCAGGACCGGCAUCGGUUCUGGUUGAAAACUCCGGUGGUUAUGGAUGGGCAUGCGUUGUAUUAGCUGGUUGGUGAGGUAACGGCUCACCAAGGCAACGAUACAUAGGGGGACUGAGAGGUUAACCCCCCACAUUGGUACUGAGACACGGACCAAACUCCUACGGGAGGCAGCAGUGAGGAAUAUUGGUCAAUGGACGAGAGUCUGAACCAGCCAAGUAGCGUGAAGGAUGAAGGUCCUACGGAUUGUAAACUUCUUUUAUAAGGGAAUAAACCCUCCCACGUGUGGGAGCUUGUAUGUACCUUAUGAAUAAGCAUCGGCUAACUCCGUG